rnacentral:rRNA from 1 species
GACGAACGCUGGCGGCGUGCUUAACACAUGCAAGUCACGGGGGUCCGCAAGGAUAACCGGCGAACGGGUGCGUAACACGUGAGCAACCUACCGAUUUGUGGGGGAUAGCCGGCCCAACGGCCGGGUAAUACCGCAUACGCUUCUCGAGAGGAGUCUCUUGAGAAGGAAACCUCCGGGGCAAAUCGAGGGGCUCGCGGCCUAUCAGCUUGUUGGCGAGGUCACGGCUCACCAAGGCGANGACGGGUAGCUGGUCUGAGAGGAUGGCCAGCCACAUUGGGACUGAGAGACGGCCCAGACUCCUACGGGAGGCAGCAGUGGGGAAUCUUGCGCAAUGGGCGAAAGCCUGACGCAGCGACGCCGCGUGAGGGAUGACGGCCUCGGUUGUAACGUACUU